CUACUCUCCGCUGACCUUGGUCUGGACGCUUUCCAGAGUCAAGUCCCCAAUGCGCGUGCGCCUUUCCUCCCUUCUGACUUUAUGUGGAACAAUCAUGGACCUUCCCGGACACCGUAGAUAAUAAGUAGGUCUUGGUCUAAACUUCCGGGAAGUUUUCGGCGACCUGGAUACCAUCUUCGACACGGGGACAAAUCCCGGGAUGGAGUCCAGGGUUUCCCGCGGCUUCGGCGCUUCCUGACCUGGCGUGACUGCCGACUUGUCGGCACCACCCAGGCCUCAGGCUCCCUGUCUGUAGUGGUGAAUCGACCUUCCUCAUGGCAGUCCAGGCUUCCCAAGCCCCAUGUCCUGUUGAUCCGGGACAAACUCUUCCUUGAACGUUCUUCACUACGAGCCGCUGCUGAUCUGUACUGCCUGGAGGAGCAUUUCCAUAGCGCCCGCAAAAAUACAAUAAAGCUCACCCAAGGAAAUAACCAUGGAUUCUCACGCCUGGGUGCCAGUGUUUGGAAUCGACUGGGCUUUUUUAUGUUAGUAGGCAAUUUAAAACAAUUACUUAUUUGAAAUCAGAAGCGCAAUAGGCAUAACUUCAGGUACGUGCUCCACCACCACGUUUUGUGGAUUUUUCUUUUUAAACAUCAGUUCUGUUCUCUACAACUCUCCGCCUUCAGGGUUAUACUUUCCAGGAACAAUAGCUUCCCAAUUCGGCUUUGUGCAUCCAUUUUUCAUACAGCAUCGUUGUAGUCUUCAAAUACAAAUAUGAUCACGGCAAUCUGCUGAAAAAUCUUUGGUGGCUUUCCCUUGCUCUUGGACAAUCCCUGAUUGUCCAAGUUUUCGGCUUCAUCUCGUUCGCCCACCAUACACUGAACUAUAAACUGUAGUGGCUUUUUUUCCUCAGGUCUUCCCACAGACUAAGUACCAAGAUUUUUCCACCCUACCCUCAUCCGUGCUCAUUCCGACACACUUUUUGCCUGUUUGACACCUCAUUUAUUGUCAGAUUUCAAGAAUCGUUUUCUUCGGGGAACCAUUUCUUGACUCCCUUACUGGAUGAAACAAGCCUCCCUGUUAAACAGUGUUGGAGGCGCAGAAACAUACCCCCAAAUAAUGGCGUUUUGACAUCUGAACUGAAGAAGCCUCAAGGUCCCACUCCCCUAAAUCCCCACGCCAUCUCUGCCAAAGCAAAGGAUAAAGUUUAGACACAUCACAAGGAACAUAAUUGUUUUUGUUGCCUCCCUGUAAGACCAAGAAUGUAGUAAUCACACCUGAGCAGACCCUUUCACAAGAUGUUGUACAAAUUAAUGUGUUCCUGAUACAUUCAUUCUCCUUUGUAAUCCCUCAACAGAAUUCCUCUUCUCCCUAUCAUAACCUGUGUCGCUGGGAUUGUAUCCACAAGCUUCUGAAGCCCUCUGAGGGGUGGGUAAUCACGCUGUGAUUCUUCCUGUGUAUACACGUUAAGUAAAUUUGUAUGUUUUUUCUAUUAAUGUUCCUCAUGUUAGUGAUUUUCAGCCAAACCUCAGAGGGCCAAGGAGAAAGGUCCCCUUGGCGCUUACAAUAGUGUCUGCUGGUAGUUUCAUGUGGUUCUUGGUAGAACUUACCGGUUCAACUUGUUCUUUCACUAUGUGUGUAUUUAGAGCUAAGCAAGUUUACUAUAUAUGUGUAUAUAUAUAUAUAUAUACACACACACACACAUAUACACAUACGUAUAUGUAUAUACAUAUAUUAUAUAUAUAUAUAUGCACAGUAAUGGUUCUGAUCAGUUGGCCUAAGAGUACACCCUAUGUGGGGCUUCACGUACUGCUACACUCACAGGCAGAAUUGGGGGUUGUUUUUCUGUCCAGAGUGAUUGAUCCUGAUUACAAGGGGACAAGCGGGUUUCUUCUACAUAAAGGAGAAUUUUGUCAAGAACCCAGGAGAUUCACUGAGACCUUUUUUAGUACUUCCUUGUCUAAUGUUUCGCUGUUGGAAAACUCUGGGAACCCAACAAAGACAAGGAAGGAAGGAAGGUUUGGGCUAUCCUUCUAGGUAAAGAAUCUAGUCUAGCGAGGUCCUGACAAAGGCUAAGGGUAACUUGAAAAGGUGCUAGGAGAACAGAGUUAUGCAAUAUUAGCUACCUAAUUUGCAGAUUACAUAUAUAUGUAUACACAUAUACAUAUGUGUGUGUGUGUGUGUGUGUGUGUAUAUAUAUAUAACUGCUCUUUAGCUGACACCUUGAUUUUAAUAAUAGUCCUUUUCUUUUCUUUUUUCUUUGAGAUGAGGUCUUGCUCCAUUACCCAGGCUGGAGUGCAGUGGCACAAUCAUAGCUCACUACAGACUCAAACUGCUGUACUCAAGCAGUCCUUCUGCCUCAGCUUCCCAAGUAGGUAGGACUGCAGGCACACACCACCACACCCAGUUAAUUUUUUCUUAUUUUUUAUUCUAUCUAUCUAUCCAUUUAUUUAUUUUUGAGACAGAGUCUUGCUCUGUUGCCCAGGCUGGAGUGCAGUGGUGUGAUCACAGCUCACUGCAGCCUUGAUCUCCCAGGCUCAAUUGAUCCCCUCGCCACAGUCUCCUGAACAGCUGGGACUACAGGUGCACACCACCACGCUCGGCUAAUAUAUAUAUUUUUUAAUUUUUAGUAGACAUGAGGUCUCACUAUGUUACCCAGACUUGUCUCAAACUCCUGAGCUUAAGCUCUUCUCCUACCUUGCAAGUUUAUAGUUUUUUUAAAAUAUAUUUUAUCUCCUUGAUUGAAAACUUCACGAAAGCACACUUUGUGUAUUUUUGCCAGCAUCUGGAAGAUGUAAACCUAUCGCACAGCAGAUGUUCAAUAAAUGUUGAGUGUUGAGACAAAACUUGCUUAAUUUUUCAAGCAAGGUUUGGAAAAUUACCUCUUUAUUUGUAUUAUAAAAGAAGUCAAAACCCCUUUACUAACUAGAUCUAGAAGAAAGUUUAUGAUGAGAGUAGAUUAUUAGUAGUGCUUGAUAUUCCAGGAGUUAUGUACAAUUUUAAUAGGCUUAAAUAGACCAAACUAACUCCCCACAUUUAAAUUAGAAUGAGAAUCAAUAGGAUCUAAUCUUACCUUUUAAUGUAAAACAAUUUAAUUAUGCUCAUUAGACACAUUUGCCUGAAUUGUAUCUUAAUUUUAACUAAGUAUAAUGAAAACCAGAGAGAUCAAGAUUCCUGAAUUUGCUGGAUGCAGAAAAUGAUAGGCUAACAAUUAUAUUUAACUGCUAUAUAACAUUGUUUCUAGCAGCUUCUCUUAACUCUUUGUUCUCUUUCAACUUUAAAAACAGUCCUCAUUUAAGUAUGGCAAAAAGAAAAAGCAGAAGGCGUUUCUUUUUUUAAAUAUAUUUUUAUUAUACUUUAAGUUCUAGGGUACAUGUGCACAACGUGCAGGUUUGUUACAUAUGUAUACAUGUGCCAUGUUGGUGUGCUGCACCCAUUAACUCGUCAUUUACAUUAGUUAUAUCUCCUAAUGCUAUCCCUCCCCCGUCCCCCAACCCCACAACAGGCCCCGGUGUGUGAUGUUCCCCUUCCAGUGUCCAGGUGUUCCCAUUGUUCAAUUCCCACCUAUGAGUGAGGACAUGCGGUGUUUGGUUUUUUGUCCUUAUGAUAGUUUGCUGAGAAUGAUGGUUUCCAGCUUCAUCCAUGUCCCUACAAAGGACAUGAACUCAUCAUUUUUUAUGGCUGCAUAGUAUUCCAUGGUGUAUAUGUGCCAUAUUUUCUUAAUCCAGUCUAUCAUUGUUGGACAUUUGGGUUGGUUCCAAGUCUUUGCUAUUGUGAAUAGUGCUGCAAUAAACAUACGUGUGCAUGUGUCUUUAUAGCAGCAUGAUUUAUAAUCCUUUGAGUAUAUACCCAGUAAUGGGAUGGCUGGGUCAAAUGGUAUUUCUAGUUCUAGAUCCCUGAGGAAUCGCCACACUGUCUUCCACAAUGGUUGAACUAGUUUACAGUCCCACCAGCAGUAUAAAAGUGUUCCUGUUUCUCCACGUCCUCUCCAGCACCUGAUCUUUGACAAACCUGACAAAAACAAGAAAUGGGGAAAGGAUUUCCUAUUUAACAAAUGGUGCUGGGAAAACUGGCUAGCCAUAUGUAGAAAGCUGAAACUGGAUCCCUUCCUUACACCUUAUACAACAAUUAAUUCAAGAUGGAUUAAAGACUUAAAUAUUAGACCUAAAACCAUAAAAACCCUAGAAGAAAACCUAGGCAAUACCAUUUAGGACAUAGGCAUGGGCAAGGACUUCAUGUCUAAAAACACCAAAAGCAAUGGCAACAAAAGCCAAAAUUGACAAAUGGGAUCUCAUUAAACUAAAGAGCUUCUGCACAGCAAAAGAAACUACCAUCAGAGUGAACAGGCAACCUACAGAAUGGGAGAAAAUUUUUGCAAUCUACUCAUCUGGCAAAGGGCUAAUAUCCAGAAUCUACAAAGAACUCAAACAAAUUUACAAGAAGAAAACAACCCCAUCAACAAAUGGGCGAAGGAUAUGAACAGACACUUCUUAAAAGAAGACAUUUUUGCAGCCAACAGACACAUGAAAAAAUGCUCAUCAUCACUUGCCAUCAGAGAAAUGCAAAUCGAAACCACAAUGAGAUACCAUCUGACACCAGUUAGAAUGGUGAUCAUUAAAAAGUCAGGAAACAACAGGUGCAGAAGGCAUUUCUAACAGGUUGACUGUGGUGCAGGAACAUAGGGGAAGAAUGUAAUGAGUUGCUAGUGUGGGAACCUCGCAGAGGUAUCCCUGUGGCACAGUGCCCUCUGGUGUUAGGAAGGUGUUCUUUCACUAUGUGUUUAGAGCUAAGCAAAGAUCACGGGAGCGUCCAACACAUCUCAGACCUAAAGCACAAAACACUGUUAUACAACUUUUGUGUAUUUGCCAACAAAAAAAAACUUCUGAUUUACUCCCAGUGUUAUAAUUUAUGCCCACUGUAUUAACCCGUUCUCUGCUAUGAAGAAAUACCUGAGACUGGGUAAUUUAUAAAGGAAAGAAGUUGAAUUGACUCACAGUUCUGCAUGGCUGGGGAAGCAUUAGGAAAUUUCCAAUCAUGGCAGAAGGUACCUCUUCACAGAGCAGCAGGAGAGAAAAUGAGUGCCAGCAGGGGAAAUGUCAGACACUUAUAAAACCAUCCGAUCUCAUGAGACUCACUCGUUAUCAGGAGAACAGCAUGGGGGAAACUGCCCCGUGAUGCAAUUACCUACACCUGGUCCCACCCUUGACACAUGGGGAUUAUGGUGAUUACAAUUCAAGAUGAGAUUUUGGGUGGGGACACAGCCAAACCAUAUCACCAACUACCCUACAUGCUUUAAAAAUUUUUUACAUUAUUUUAUUUUUUUUAUUUUAUUUUAUUUUUUAGAGACAAGGUCUUGCUUUGUUGCCCAGCUAGUCUCAAACUCCUGGCCUCAAAUGAUCCUCUCACCUUGGCCUCUCAUGCUGGGAUUAUAGGUGUGAACCACCACACUGGCCUCCUACAUACUUUUUAGGAAAGUGGCUGUCAAUAGCUCUGCCUUGAGAAGUGAAGCAAAAUUAUGUGAUAUGCUACAAAUAAUGUUACAAAUAAUAGAAGUUUGUACAUAACCAUCUCUCUAUGGGUUUGGGGCAAAAGAGUCUUCUUCAUUAUCAAUCCUUAAUUACUCAUUUGAAUAAUUUUUGCUUCUGGUUCCUACAACCUUGGGCUGGAUGAUUUUGAAGAAACUAAUCCCUGAGGGAAGAAUGCUUCUAUCAGGGGCAUAGUCAUGGUUCUGAUCAACUGGCCUAAGAGUACACCCUAUGUGGGGCUUCACGUACUGCUACACUCACAGGCAGAAUUGGGAUUGUUUUUCUGGCCAGAGUGAUUGAUCCUGAUUACAAGAGGACAAAUGGGUUUCUUCUACAUAAAGGAGAGUUUUGUCAAGAACCCAGGAGAUUCGUUGAGACAUUUUUUAGUACUUCCUUGUCUAAUAUUCUGCUGUUGGAAAACUCUGGGAACCCAACAAAGACAAGGAAGGAAGGAAGGUUUGGGCUAUCCUUCUAGGUAAAGAACCCAGUCUAGCGAGGUCCUGACAAAGGCUAAGGGUAACUUGAAUAGGUGCUAGAAGAACAGAGUUAUACAAUAUUAGCUACAUAAUUUGCAGAACCCAAUGCAAAAUAAAAAUGUAGGGCUCCUUGUUAAUUUCAAUCUAUUUAAUAGGCACAGUGGAGCAGCAACUAAGUGUAGAGCGCGCUUCUAAGUAUUGAGUCCUGUGUGACUCCCCAGGUUGUGCAUCCAUGGAGCUGGUGCUAGUGCUAUGAUUGCUAAAUUAGCCCUCAUGACCAGAAAGAAGUAUGGCCUGUAGAAGUUAUGUUUUUUGUUACUUUUUUUUCCACUCCCCCAACUUUUCCUUAUAUAUGUAUCAUAUAUAAAGAAUACUAGGAGUGGCUAACUUUUUACUUCUCGUGAGGGAAUAUGAUUGAAUCAAGAUCACUCCAUGAUGAUACACAUUCUGAAGGGACUUCAUGUGUCCCUUGUGUUGGAGGCACACACUUUUCAUGUGGAUGAAAAGCUAUAGAGGAUGUUGAAGGGGAAAAGGUGUGGCCUGUACCAAUGGACUGCUGGGCCAUUGGCCUCCAGUUGCUUCCAGCCAGUGAGACCCUCAGCAGGAGUUGGGAGGGAAGAAAACAAAAUCAGGACAUGUAUACCCCUGGCUCUUCCCAGGAGGAGGUUGCCUUGUGCUGCUGAUGUUUCACAACCAAAGGUCACUGCUGAUCUCAUAGCAAUAACUACAGAACACUUCCCUUCUAGGUUCCAGCAAAUGCUGGCUACCCUCACCCUGCCUGGCCUACAUGUGGUUACAGAUUUCCCACAAUUACUAUUUGUAGGAUCCUGACUCCCUAUACUUCUCAUCUGUUUUAAAUAAACCCUCUUUAAAUUACUCUAACCCGAGUGUGCCCUCUGUUCUCUGUUGGAGCCCCGUGUGAUAUAAUCAUGUUCCUCAGCUAUAAAAUGGUGAUAGAAGUAAUAAACCUGAUUCCAGAACUUGUUGGGAGGAUAAAAUGAAAGUACAAGUAUACAAA
rnacentral:lncRNA from 1 species